AGUGGCGGACGGGUGAGUAACGCGUGAGCAAUCUGCCCUAUACAGAGGAAUAGCCUCGGGAAACUGGGAUUAAAACCGCAUGAUGCUUUUGUGCCGCAUGGUAUGAAAGUCAAAUUGAUUAAGAGGUAUAGGAUGAGCUCGCGUCUGAUUAGCUAGUUGGUAGGGUAAAGGCCUACCAAGGCGACGAUCAGUAGCCGGCCUGAGAGGGUGAACGGCCACACUGGAACUGAGACACGGUCCAGACUCCUACGGGAGGCAGCAGUGGGGAAUAUUGCACAAUGGGCGAAAGCCUGAUGCAGCGACGCCGCGUGAGUGAAGAAGGUCUUCGGAUCGUAAAACUCUGUCCUUGGUGAAGAAAAAAAUGACGGUAGCCAAGGAGGAAGCCCCGGCUAACUACGUGCCAGCAGCCGCGGUAAUACGUAGGGGGCUAGCGCUGUCCGGAUUUACUGGGCGUAAAGGGUGAGUAGGCGGUUACAUAAGUCAGAUGUAAAAGGCUAAGGCUUAACCAUAGUAUGCAUUUGAAACUGUGUGACUUGAGUACAGGAGAGGUAAGUGGAAUUCCUAGUGUAGCGGUGAAAUGCGU
rnacentral:rRNA from 1 species